UCCUUUAAUCACAGUCAUCAACUUGUUCUCCUCUCUGUCAGCCAACACCUCAGCAAAGAUGGCAUCAGGCUUUCUGUUUGCUUUGUUGCUCUGUUUGUCCAUCGGACUGUUGGCUGCAUGUUGUUGUGAAGAAACUAAAUCCUCCUGCCCAGGUCAGUACAGUAUCUCUG